rnacentral:rRNA from 1 species
UACGGGGGGGGCAAGCGUUGUUCGGAAUUACUGGGCGUAAAGGGCUCGUAGGCGGCCAUCUAAGUCGGACGUGAAAUCCCUCGGCUCAACUGAGGAACUGCCUUUGAAACUGCAGGGCUUGAGUCCGGGAGGGGGUAGCGGAAUUCCCAGUGUAGCGGUGAAAUGCGUAGAUAUUGGGAGGAACACCAGUGGCGAAGGCGGCUACCUGGACCGGAACUGACGCUGAUGCGCGAAAGCGUGGGUAGCAAACAGG